UACGGAGGGUGCAAGCGUUAUCCGGAUUCACUGGGUUUAAAGGGUGCGUAGGUGGGCAGGUAAGUCAGUGGUGAAAUCUCCGGGCUUAACUCGGAAACUGCCAUUGAUACUAUCUUUCUUGAAUACCGUGGAGGUCAGCGGAAUAUGUCAUGUAGCGGUGAAAUGCUUAGAUAUGACAUAGAACACCAAGUGCGAAGGCAGCUGGCUACACGAAUAUGGACACUGAUGCACGAAAGCGUGGGGAGCAAACAGG
rnacentral:rRNA from 1 species